rnacentral:rRNA from 1 species
AUGAAUUUUUGGACAGAGGGUAUUCACAGAGUGUCAAAACUGAAUCUACGUAUAAUGUCAGACUCCGACAAAAUUGACGCAAGAAGUUCUUGGAGUGGAUCAGAUAAGGAUGAAACUGAAGCUUUUUUAGAUGCUAUGAACUUCAGGUAUUGUCUACUCCAAUGUGGUCAACAUUUCUUAAAGGUGCAACUUCUUCCAUCAAUGUGGAUGAUUUGGUCACACUUGCAAACAAGGUCUCUUUGUAUACUGGAUGCUCCCAUUGCAGCUAGUCUUAUACUCCCUCUUCCUCUUCAUCCCUAA